GAUGAACGCUGGCGGCGUGCUUAACACAUGCGAGUCGAACGGAAAGGCCACAGCUUGCUGUGGUACUCGAGUGGCGAACGGGUGAGUAACACGUGGGUGAUCUGCCCUGUACUUCGGGAUAAGCUUGGGAAACUGGGUCUAAUACCGGAUAGGAAUCACAUGUGGGUGUGUGGUUGGAAAGCUUUUGCGGUAUGGGAUGAGCUCGCGGCCUAUCAGCUUGUUGGUGGGGUAAUGGCCUACCAAGGCGUCGACGGGUAGCCGGCCUGAGAGGGUGUACGGCCACAUUGGGACUGAGAUACGGCCCAGACUCCUACGGGAGGCAGCAGUAGGGAAUAUUGCACAAUGGGCGCAAGCCUGAUGCAGCGACGCCGCGUGGGGGAUGACGGCCUUCGGGUUGUAAACUCCUUUCGUCAGGGACGAAGCGAAAGUGACGGUACCUGGAUAAGAAGCACCGGCUAACUACGUG
rnacentral:rRNA from 1 species